rnacentral:lncRNA from 1 species
UAACAUCUUCUUGAUUAAUGGUAAAAGGGUCAUCUUUGAUGUAGUAAAAUGACUUGCUUUCAAAAUUAUAAGUUUUCAAUGUUCAUAGGUUAAAACAAUCGAACAUGGAUCUAAUUUGAUAUAAUCUGAUAUUAUCAAACUCAAUCGAUUCUAAAACACGUAUCUUCAAAGGCGUUGUUGCCUUCAAGAGAAUCAAAAGCCAUGAUCCUUUUCGAUUUACAACGAGACUCACCACCGAACCAACAACAUAUCAGUAAUAAGUCAUCUACCUCUCAACCUUUCUUUUAUUUUCAAAUUCAUUCUUCCUUUCUGUAUCCUCAUCCAUCUUUUUUGAUUUAAAACCAUCUCCUCUCAACAAAAUCUUCUCAUGCCACCCCAAUUUUAAGUACCUACAUCAAGUAUUUAACUUAACCAUUAGAUCAUGAACUAAUUUUUUCAGGACACCAACACAACAUGCAAAAAGUCACGUCAAUAAAAUCAUGUUCCUAAUCAAAAUUUCGAACCAAAGAUAACUACAACAAAAUUGUAUUAAACGAGCAAUCAAACAAAAUUGUAAUAAAAAGAACUACACAAAAUAAUCUUGAUUUCGCCGAAAAAUCAAAAACCAUUACAUAAAAAAACCAACCUAUUCAAACCACCAAUUAAAUAAGAACAAAUUCAAGAUAAUUAAAUCAUAUAAAUUUUUCAAAUUUGGAACUAAAUAUACCUACAACGAGCAAGAUAAAAUUUUUGUAAGAAACAAGCUAAAAACAAUCUCUGCAACAGAUAGAACAAAAAGGAAGAAAAUAGAUAUUGAAGGUAAUACAUAUAUUAUUUGAACAAAAAAUCAUUCCAAACGAUUGUAAUUGAGAAUUUCAAUGGGAAUCAACCAAGAAAUAAUUGUGCUGAACAAUUAUUAACUUAAACUAACCUCCAUUCUUGAAUCGGAAUAAUGCAUGUUGGUUUGGCCAACACGAUCUGGUACAUUCUUGCAUCGAGGAUCAGUUACAUCCUCCGAUAUUUUUGACAGAGGUGGUUGUUUGGAUGAUAAACUUCGUGUUAUUCGGGGAGGAAUUGUCAAUCGUGGCGGCAUUAGUGAAGACAAAUACUAAUUUGGGAAAACAGAGAUGAGCGCCGGUUCAAAUAAAAAUAAAUAAAAACCCAUCUGGAAAAAACAGAGGUCGACUAUUUAUCAAUUCCUCUGCUAUAGUCGUCCUAGGCAAGGUGCAGUCUCUCAGAUCGAACAACUAGUAUCUGACGUCAACGGUUUUCACCGAAGAAGAAGAAAACGGCGAGGGGUUUGAAAUCUAAAAUCAGAAAGGAAAAAAAGGAAGGAAACAAGCUCGUUGGCGAUUAAUUUGUCGAAAAAAAGGAAUCAAAACGCGUCCGACGACAGACGAAAUAGAGGAAGACAAGGGGGCUCAGUACGACGAUGACGGUUUUGAAAAUGGGGUUAU